rnacentral:lncRNA from 13 species
GUUGAAGAUCCCUCUCUUCCCCUAGAGUGUGCACCCUAAAAGCUGAAUAUAAGACUUAAAAAUAUGAAGAAAACUUUUAUUGCAUUUUACCUCAGUAAAGUAAAUUGAAAAGGAAAACUAUUCCAUCAUCUCCUCUGCUGCAUCUCUGCAGAUCCUGUGUGGACCUACUUUAAGAGCCUACAAAAACCACUGCCAGACUCUUCUUUGCAACAUGCCUGGUAAUGCUUAAUUCAGUUUAAGAAAUGGGACAGCUUGGCAGUAAAUAGAAAUUAUUUUAUUAUAAGUGCCAGUGUUAGCCUUGUUAAUAACAGCAACACCUUCAAGACUCAGGUGGUGGAGGUCCUAUCAACACCUGGAGACAUGCAACUGAGAUCCGCUGAGUCCCUCCAAACUAUUCUCCUUGUGUCUCUCUCACAAACUACUGCAUGUUCCCUGCUUCAGGCUGAAGUGGGGAUGGUAACAGAACUUGUGGCAACUCAAGUGGCUGCUAGAUAAAUCCACUUAAUCUCAUUUUCUUCCAGUAGGACACUUUGGGAGAGCAAGGACGAGGUGGAAGAGUGGUUUAUCUCAAAUAGGAAGAGGAGGAUCUUUUUUCAGUGUGACACAGAGUCAAAUAUGCACCAAGUGUGGUCAGAACUGUGUGGCACAAAGGAACAAGCAUGCCUUUGGAGGCUGACAAUCUUCCAGUUCAGGAGGAGGACCGGGCAUAUAUAACCAACAAGCUGUCCUGGAACAUCCCAUGCCAAAAUCUGUCUUAAAAGCAAACAGAAGAUGGAUUCUAGACCAGGACAGAUUGAAUUAUGGAGAAGUGAAGAUAAAAGAGGCUGGAGAGACAAAUAAGGUUUCAGGUGGCUGCAGUAUGUUGAUUACCCUGUUACUUAACUAGACAUUCACAUCUUGAUUCAAAAUACACUUUUAUUACUCUCUAUACCUUCUCCAUUGCUUGGAAACAGCAGUCAACAAACCAAUGUUU